AACCUAGCACACCUGCGGUGUGUACCUGCGGAGGGAUCAUUAAUAAAUGUUACUUCGGUAACUUAAUUAAUCCCUAACACCUGUGCAUCUUGUCGCUCCGGCGUCAUUUUAUAAACAUCAGUGUAAUGAAUGUAAAGUAUUAUAACAAAUACAACUUUUAACAAUGGAUCU
rnacentral:misc_RNA from 1 species